AAUUGUAUACUUUCAGGGAUCAUUUCUAUGGUUUGUUACUAGAGCAGUUUCUCUGAACGUGUAGAACACUGGAAACCACGAGGAGGAAGCACAACAUUCUCUCCUGAG
ensembl:snoRNA U3 Small nucleolar RNA U3